UACGUAGGGAGCAAGCGUUGUUCGGAUUUACUGGGCGUAAAGGGCGCGUAGGCGGCAAUUCAAGUCAUCUGUGAAAUCUCCGGGCUUAACUCGGAACGGUCAGAUGAUACUGUUUUGCUAGAGUGCGGAAGGGGCUACUGGAAUUCUCGGUGUAGCGGUGAAAUGCGUAGAUAUCGAGAGGAACACCUGCGGCGAAGGCGGGUAGCUGGGCCGACACUGACGCUGAGGCGCGAAAGCCAGGGGAGCGAACGGG
rnacentral:rRNA from 1 species